GUUGGAUCUCAGGAUGGCAGCCAAAAUGGACGUCUUCCUUCUUGAUGUUUCACCACUGACUUCGUGUUUUUUUUUAAAUCUGGGUUUUGUGAAUGAAAUCCAAGGAAACUUGUUAAAGAGAAGGAGGAGGAGCAAGGCUCGACUUUACCAGCACGUUUGUCAUCUCCGUUUGGCCAAUACGCCCACCUUUGUACCAAAGCUGCUACAUAAAGAAAGCAGUUUUUUUAAAUUCAUUUGAUAAUCUAGAUCUUCUAGAUUCUUACAGAUCUUUGGGAUGUACCUGGUGUGCAGCGUGGGAUGCAGAGUUGGUCCGUGGCAGAAAGGAAUGCUGUGAAUGUUCGUUUUUUAGUGUAAAUAAAAGAUUUUCAGUUCAA